rnacentral:siRNA from 1 species
UUAUCUGCCAAUAGAACCGUGCA